rnacentral:tmRNA from 1 species
GGGGGUGAAAGGGACUCGACUCAAUAAGCAGGGAAGGAGCUGCAUGCCAGCGGGUAGGCCAGCUGUAAGAGGCCUACAAAAAAUAAGUGCAGACGCUUACGCAACCACUCCUGCUUGCGCAGUUUGUUAAGCAGGGCUCCUAAUUCCGUUUGUCUCUGACGGGAUUAGGGGUUCGGUAAUAGAGACUAGAGGUAGGUUCUUAACCUUGGGAGCCUGCCUCAAAAAUAACCAAGGUUGCUCUCUAACAGAUCCUGCCUCUCGGAGCUGUUAGAGAAAAGAUUAAAAGAGAGGCUAAGUAUGUAGUAGGCUCCUCUUUUAGCUUAUUGAGGACGCGGGUUCGAUUCCCGCCACCUCCACCA